rnacentral:ncRNA from 1 species
GCGUUAUCCGGAAUGAUUGGGCGUAAAGCAUUUGUAGGUGGCUUUCCAAGUCUUGGACUAACCAUCCCUUAGAGGGUAUUGUUAAAAGAUCCUCGAUUCCUAACGCCCGGUGAACGGCGGCCGUAACUAUAACGGUCCUAAGGUAGCGAAAUUCCUUGUCGGGUAAGUUCCGACCCGCACGAAA